rnacentral:lncRNA from 1 species
AGUUAAAGGGUGGAAUUUAGGAUUUAGGGUUUAGGGUUUAGGGUUUAGAGUUUAGGGUUUAGGGUUUAAAUUUUAGGGUUUAAAUUUUAGGGUUUAGAGUUUAGGGUUUAGAGUUUAGGGUUUAUGGUUUAGAGUUUAGGGUUUAGGGUUUAGGAUUUAAAAUUUAGGGUUUAGGGUUUAGAGUUUAGGGUUUAGGGUUUAGAGUUGAGAAAUGAGGUUUUAGGUUUAAGAUUUCAAAUUUUGAAAAAUAAAAAAAUUAAAAUUUUCAAAGGAUAAACUUAGAAAUGUGCUAUUUUGGUCAUUUUAGUUCUUGAGUGCUAUUUUUGUGAUAUAAACUUAGAAAGGUGCUAUUUUGG